UGUUCUAUGGCCGAAUUGGUAAAGGCGAUCACAGGCGAGGUUGCGGGUUCGAGUCCCGCAGGAACGA
rnacentral:tRNA from 1 species